ACGGUAGGAAGGUGAUAAUGUAGCUGCUGUUGUUAACUCAAUAACUGAAAUAUCAGAGAUUCAGAAGACGGUAGUAAAAGAAGGCAGUGCGAGUUUUGAUGUGUCCCAACAGCGAGUUUUUCUCUUAGGAGAGAACCGAUGGGAAGACCCCGCACGACUUCUUAGUUCAAAUGGAAAAGCUUCUGAUGGCAAAACCAAGUACACAUCUACCAAGUGUCUGACUUGUCGUGGGGAGGGUCGUCUGUUAUGCUCAGAAUGCGAUGGAUCUGGUGAGCCAAAUGUUGAACCACAGUUUCUGGAAUGGGUGGAUGAAGGAGCAAAAUGUCCAUACUGCGAAGGCCUUGGUUAUACAAUAUGCGACGCAUGCGAAGGGAAGACUGCAAUAGGUAUGACUUUUCACUCGUCCAUUUAAUUGUUCUCUUAUUAAGAUCCCUAUUCAAUUUUGUUAUAUAUAUAUAUAUAUAUUACUAAUUCAUAGCCACUAAAAAUAAGAUGAUGAUUCUGUUGGGGCAGA